rnacentral:rRNA from 1 species
GACGUAGGGCGCGAGCGUUGUCCGGAUUUAUUGGGCGUAAAGAGCUCGUAGGUGGUUUGUCGCGUUGUUCGUGAAAACUCACAGCUCAACUGUGGGCGUGCGGGCGAUACGGGCAGACUGGAGUACUGCAGGGGAGACUGGAAUUCCUGGUGUAGCGGUGGAAUGCGCAGAUAUCAGGAGGAACACCGGUGGCGAAGGCGGGUUGCUGGGCUGAUACUGACGCUGAGGCGCGAAAGCCAGGGGAGCGAACGGG